rnacentral:lncRNA from 1 species
AAAAUAAUUGCUUAACAAUUUCUCUUCAUCUAUCUCUCGCUGAUGUCAUCUCUUUCCAAAUCCUCUCUCUCUCUCUCUAUAGAGCUAUUUCAAAUUUUGAUAUGAUUAAUUUCAAUUUCACCCGUAAGUGUGCAUUUGCGCAUGUAAAUAGUUUUGUUAACUCCUUCAAUGCCUAAGCUAGUUGCGUGUUCUUUUGAAGUUGUUUGAAUUUAAGGGUGCAAUUGUCUUCGCGUCUUAGAUUGUCCAAACAAAUUUCCAUGCGACUUAAAGUC